rfam:Frankia sp. ETN1f ctg00309, whole genome shotgun sequence.
ACGCGCGCUCCGGGGUCGGUGAAAUUCCGAGCCGGCGGUGAUAGUCCGCGACCCGUCCACCCGUGUGGUGGCCGGUGGACCUGGUGGAAUUCCGGGACCGACGGUGAAAGUCCGGAUGGGAGGACGCGCGC